rnacentral:rRNA from 1 species
AACGAACGCUGGCGGCAUGCCUGACACAUGCAAGUCGAACGAGACCUUCGGGUCUAGUGGCGCACGGGUGCGUAACGCGUGGGAACCUGCCCUUAGGUUCGGAAUAACUCCCCGAAAGGGGUGCUAAUACCGGAUAAUGUCUUCGGACCAAAGAUUUAUCGCCUUUGGAUGGGCCCGCGUUGGAUUAGCUAGUUGGUAGGGUAAAAGCCUACCAAGGCGACGAUCCAUAGCUGGUCUGAGAGGAUGAUCAGCCACACUGGGACUGAGACACGGCCCAGACUCCUACGGGAGGCAGCAGUGGGGAAUAUUGGACAAUGGGCGAAAGCCUGAUCCAGCAAUGCCGCGUGAGUGAUGAAGGCCUUAGGGUUGUAAAGCUCUUUUAACCGGGAUGAUAAUGACAGUACCGGGAGAAUAAGCGCCGGCUAACUCCGUG